GACGAACGCUGGCGGCGUGCUUAACACAUGCAAGUCGAACGGGCCUUGUCCCCUUUUUUUUGGGGGUGGGGUUAGUGGCGAACGGGUGAGUAACACGUGAGUAACCUGCCCCUCACUUCUGGAUAACCGCUUGAAAGGGUGGCUAAUACGGGGUGUUCUGGCCUGCUCGCAUGGGUGGGUUUGGAAAGAUUCGACCGGUUUUGGUUGUUUUGGUGGGGGAUGGGCUCGCGGCCUAUCAGCUUGUUGGUGGGGUGAUGGCCUGCCAAGGCUUUGACGGGUAGCCGGCCUGAGAGGGUGGGCGGUCGCACUGGGACUGAGACACGGCCCAGACUCCUACGGGAGGCAGCAGUGGGGAAUAUUGCACAAUGGGCGCAAGCCUGAUGCAGCGACGCCGCGUGAGGGAUGGAGGCCUUCGGGUUGUGAACCUCUUUCGCCAGUGAAGAAGGUCCUGCUCUUUGUGGUGGGGUUGACGGUAGCUGGGUUAAUGAAGCGCCGGCUAACUACGUG
rnacentral:rRNA from 1 species